GGGGAUGUUCCGGAAUUCGACUGCACGCCGUAGUUUAUGCUUGCAUGCCGGAGACGACACUUGGCUCCGUAAAAAUGUGUCAAAAAAACUAUAAAUGGCGAAGAUUACGCUAUUGCUGCCUAACUAAAGGCGGCGCGUCUCCACCCCGACACCUGAUAGGGGAUGGGGGCGUCGACAUCAGGUAAAGGGGCUUCCGCCGCUCGCGCGGGACGGGGGCCGCCAUUUUCCGCGCGAUAGCCCCGGCGCGGUUGUUUCGGCCCAAGGCCGGGGUGAAAUCAAAUCGGAACUAAGCUUGUAGUAUGGCGUAUCCGAAAGUGCGCAGGACCGGGGUUCGACUCCCCGCAUCUCCACCA
rnacentral:tmRNA from 1 species